ACAAGAAGGCACGCACCUCUCACGUGCGCUAACCUCUCUUCCCCGUCCCAAUCCCUUCGCUCUUCGUCGUCGUCGCUCCGAAUCUCCGCAUCCUCCAUUACCAACCUCCUCCUCCCCUCCCCGAUGGCUCGCCUCCUCGCGCGAACCCUAACCCUAACCCUAGCCCGCCCGGCCCCCCUCCCCCCUCUCCGCGGCCUCGCCACCAAGGUCGAGGUCAUCGAGAUCGACCUCGCGGACGACGCCGGCGCCGACGACGCGGCCGGCCCUCCGUCGGUGGAGGCCGUCGGGGUCCGCCGCCUCGAGGAGGCGAUCCACGGCGUGAUCGUGCGCCGCGCGGCGCCCGACUGGCUCCCCUUCGUUCCGGGGGGCUCGUUCUGGGUCCCCCCCAUGCGGCGCCCCCACGGCCACGGGGUCGCCGAUCUCGUCAGCCGGAUGGCGGCGGCCGGGGCGUCUGGGGCGGAGGUGGUCACCGGGUUCGCGCACGAGCCCGAGGUGUACGCGCCCAUGACGGAGGAGGAGGCGCUCUCCUUCUCCACCGCGCGGGGCUGGCCGUCGGCGGACUACUUCGUCGAAGGGAAAUUUCCACAUUCAAAGAAAAAGUCAAGGAAACGUGCAAUCUACACUGAUGAUGAAGAAAGCUGAUUGGCUAAUGCUCCAUUGCCAAGGGGAAGGGUAAUACGGAUGUACUCCAUAUUGCUGAGGACUGGUCAGGCUCCUACAAGAAAAGGUUGUUCAGGGUUAGACGUCUCUGCUAUGACCAAUGUACAUAUGGAUGACGGCAAGGACCCAAGUGCUGAUUAAUCACCCCACCCCUUGAACUAGGAAGAUAAUCUAUGCAACUGCUAUGGGGUUGCAUUCUGUAUAUUUCACUCAGAAGCUGUAGUGUUAUUGUAUCAACCAGCCCUUGUGCCAUAGCCUUGUUCACGGUAAUAAAAUAUGGAGGGAGAAGGUGGAUGCAUGUAUUUGUGUUCUGCAACAGCCAUAGAAAAUGGAACACUAUCCGAAAUCCAAGGACUGUGGAUGAGUGUCAAGAAAGAAAUUGUUUGCCAAGCACUGAGAUAAAAACAUCUGCUUCCAUCUCCAAUCUUGAAUUUAUUUCCAUAUAAAAAUGUGUUGUAAUGGCAUCUUAGAUUUGCUAAGACCUAAAAGGUCAAUUAUAUGUGCAUUUGGUGGAUAUGGACUGUGAAGCACAUUUGAUUACAUUCUAAAUUUCUUGCUGGGAAUGCCAUAUCAUAUGAGAGUUAGAGCUGCUGUCGUGUCAACAUAUAAAUAUAAUUGGAUGGU